GAUGAACGCUGGCGGCGUGCUUAACACAUGCAAGUCGAACGGAAAGGCCUCUUUCGGGGGGUACUCGAGUGGCGAACGGGUGAGUAACACGUGAGUAACCUGCCCUUGACUUUGGGAUAACUUCAGGAAACUGGGGCUAAUACCGGAUAGGAGCUCCUGCUGCAUGGUGGGGGUUGGAAAGUUUCGGCGGUUGGGGAUGGACUCGCGGCUUAUCAGCUUGUUGGUGGGGUAGUGGCUUACCAAGGCUUUGACGGGUAGCCGGCCUGAGAAGGUGACCGGCCACAUUGGGACUGAGAUACGGCCCAGACUCCUACGGGAGGCAGCAGUGGGGAAUAUUGCACAAUGGGUGGAAGCCUGAUGCAGCAACGCCGUGUGCGGGAUGACGGCCUUCGGGUUGUAAACCGCUUUCGCUCAUGACGAAGCUUUGUGUGACGGUAGUGGGUAAAGAAGCACCGGCUAACUACGUG
rnacentral:rRNA from 1 species